AGUUCCAUGCUCAAGAGCAAUGUCAACCCAAUCCUGGAUGCACUUCAGAGGUGUUUCUUCGUAUCCUGCAAACAUAGCCGGAUUUGCUAAGAGUCCUCUAGCCACCAUUACACCUUCAAAUUGCAAAUUAAAGCACUGUAAGACUCAAAGUAUGCAGAUUCAGAUGACUUCUUCAAGAUAUAUGUUGAACUUCAAUGUUGGCUUGAAACCACAGACAGUUGCAGGAAUCUACUGUAACCAAACAACUGCAGGGCAAUUUUUCACUUCCAUAUUUUACCACAAUAAAGGGACUGUUCUUCACUUGCAUAAGUCUGAGACAUCAGGGACAUGGCUCAUUAUUUUGGGAACUGCCACGUUAUUUCUCAAGACAUCCUCCAAAUUAUUUGCAGCAAAGUUCUUCUGAAAAGUCAAAUGCUACAGCUGCCAGAUCAUAGAGAUGGACACUUCACUUCUGAGCCGACCCUCAGUAUCUCAGAAAUGAAAAGAGGCAAGUCAGCAAAGACACCUGGUCUUCCCAUGGUGACCAUGGGCAUCUCAGAACAUUCAGAACAGCAUCUUACCACAUACAUGUUUUGGUCUGAUAGGUUAAAAAGCUAUUUCAAUCUCAAAGUCUUUUUUUUUUUUUUAAUUAAGACAGAAACGACCCUGAAAAUGAAGGCUUUUCAUCCUUUAUUCUCAAAUUACUUCAAUCAUACUUAACCAUUUUUUUCAAAUCUUUACCUCUGAG